GUCCUAAUAGCUUAGUGGAAGAGCGUCAGUCUUGAAAAUUGAAGGUCCGCAGAUCGAUUCUGUGUGUGGACU